CCUUACGUAGUAAAAGUUAUUUCAUUAGAGUGACAAAUGAAUUAUGCGUCAGGUUUAUGCUACAGAUGAUUUCUUGAGCCCUAAAAGAAAUUACGAGUUAUGUUCAGGAAAAUUUAUUCACCUCGUGCUGUGUUUUAAACUUCCAUGAAAUAUAAGUAAAAGCAGGAGUAAGAAAUAAAAAUAACACUUUCAAGGAUAUCCAUGGAUCGCAUUCGGUCAUGUUCCAAGAAGCUCUUUAGACGCCACUAAGACUUUAGAGUCCUUGGCAAAUGACAACAUCGUUCCGGACGGUAGAAGUUUACGGGAGUUGCCAAGUGAUUCGCUUUUCCUUGGGAUUGGCGUAUUCAAUUCGUUUCCUUAAUUUAUCGUAGCGUUAUUGGGCCUGUUAUUUAGUUUUUACGAAGAAGCCGUUUUUCUCGCAGCAGACAACAGUUUGUGUUUGAGAUUUCCAUCGAUUGCUGUCACUUCGUUGGUCAAGUUACAACAAACAAGAGGCGUCUGCAAGGUCAACUUGCUGGAGGGACAAGUAUUCAAGAUGAUUUGCAGACGCGGCAAUGAGAGAGGCGCGGGGUGGAGGGGGAGGCAGAUUUGUGAACCUUGCAUUGUUAGGCUGAUAUUUAUAAGGAUCCAAGAUGUCCACAAGAUAGAUGUAGGCAUCUAUUAAUUUAAUUUAAAAGUUUUCCAUGCUGUGCUUUUCAUUGAAAUCCUGAUAGGUUGCAAGUUAGGUUCCUCGGAUAUUCUGCAGUCGUAAACCUAUCAUUUACCUGUAUGAAUUAAAAAAAGAGUAAAUAAUGGAUCUUCAGU